CUCCUACGGGACGCAGCAGUGAGGAAUAUUGGUCAAUGGGCGGGAGCCUGAACCAGCCAAGUCGCGUGAGGGAUGACGGCCCUAUGGGUUGUAAACCUCUUUUGCCGGGGAGCAAAGUGCCGCACGUGUGCGGUUUGGAGAGUACCCGGAGAAAAAGCAUCGGCUAACUCCGUGCCAGCAGCCGCGGUAAUACGGAGGAUGCGAGCGUUAUCCGGAUUUAUUGGGUUUAAAGGGUGCGCAGGCGGGCUGUUAAGCCGGCGGUAAAAAUUCAGGGCUCAACCCUGUCGAGCCGUCGGAACUGGCAG
rnacentral:rRNA from 1 species